GACGAGGGGUCCAAGCGUUGUUCGGAAUCAUUGGGCGUAAAGCGGGUGUAGGUGGCUUUGUAAGUCAGGAGUGAAAUCCCCGAGCUUAACUUGGGAAGUGCUUUUGAAACUGCAGGGCUUGAGUGUGGGAGAGGAUCGUGGAAUUCCAGGUGUAGUGGUGAAAUACGUAGAUAUCUGGAGGAACACCGGUGGCGAAGGCGGCGAUCUGGCCCAACACUGACACUGAGACCCGAAAGCGUGGGAUCAAACAGG
rnacentral:rRNA from 1 species